rnacentral:rRNA from 1 species
GACGAACGCUGGCGGCGUGCUUAACACAUGCAAGUCGAACGGAAAGGCCCCUUUUGGGGUACUCGAGUGGCGAACGGGUGAGUAACACGUGAGUAACCUGCCCUUGACUUCGUGAUAACUUCAGGAAACUGGGGCUAAUACCGGAUAGGAAUCCUUGCUGCAUGGUGGGGGUUGGAAAGCUUCGGCGGUUUUGGAUGGACUCGCGGCUUAUCAGCUUGUUGGUGGGGUAGUGGCUUACCAAGGCUUUGACGGGUAGCCGGCCUGAGAGGGCGACCGGCCACAUUGGGACUGAGAUACGGCCCAGACUCCUACGGGAGGCAGCAGUGGGGAAUAUUGCACAAUGGGCGGAAGCCUGAUGCAGCAACGCCGCGUGCGGGAUGACGGCCUUCGGGUUGUAAACCGCUUUCAGCAGGGGCGAAGCUUUUGUGACGGUACCUGCAGAAGAAGCACCGGCUAACUACGUG